AAAUUUUCUUAAGGAACUCGGCAAAAUCCCAAUGGCCCACCAGGGCAUAUUGGAACACGGGCCUCGACUGUUUACCAAAAACAUAGCCCUCGGCUAAUAUGAAAAUAGAUGUAUAGAGGGUGAUGCCUGCCCAAUGGUUGUAUCUAAAAGCGGUUGAUAAAAGUUGACCUCGUAAGGACAAUUGAAUGGCCGCGGUAACACUGACCGUGAUAAUGUAGCGUAAUCAAUAGCCAAUUAAUUGUUGGCCAGUAUGAAUGGCGCCACGAAGGCCCCACUGUCUUAAGGAAAUUCCCAGUGAAAUUGAAUUCGUAGUGAAGAUGCUACGUCCAAUUUGUUAGACGAAAAGACCCCGUUGAGCUUUACUGGAGCACUUACAUGGCCCCGGCCUUCCCAUGCCUGGGAACCGGCCGAAUUUAAAUGGGCGGCUUAGAUUAUGUGGCAGCCCCCCGCUGGGGCAAAUGAAACACCACUCCCCCAUGUCAAAGGGGCUAACCCCCCCCCUUGGGGGGACAGUGUAAGUAGGACAGUUUGGUUGGGGCGACCACCUUUUAAAAAGUAACGAAGGUGCGCUUAAGGUGCGCAAUUAAUGACUGAAGCCUGACUGCGAGGGGGACACCCCGAGCAGACACCCCAAAGCCCGCCCGAAAGGCGGCGGUGGGGUGGGCCAUAGUGACCCGUUAAUUUAGAGUGGAAUAGUUAACGAUCAACGAAUAAAAGUUACCACGGGGAUAACAGCGUAAUAUCGUUAGAGAGUUC
rnacentral:rRNA from 1 species